GCUUCGUUAGCUCAGUGGUAGAGCGGACGGCUUUUAACCGUUAGGUCGCAGGUUCAAAUCCUGCACGAAGCU
rnacentral:tRNA from 1 species